CCUGGCUCAGGACGAACGCUGGCGGCGUGCCUAAUACAUGCAAGUAGAACGCUGAAGAGAGGAGCUUGCUUCUCCGGAUGAGUUGCGAACGGGUGAGUAACGCGUAGGUAACCUACCUGGUAGCGGGGGAUAACUAUUGGAAACGAUAGCUAAUACCGCAUAAAAUUGAUUAUUGCAUGAUAGUCAAUUAAAAGGUGCAAUUGCAUCACUACCAGAUGGACCUGCGUUGUAUUAGCUAGUUGGUGAGGUAACGGCUCACCAAGGCAACGAUACAUAGCCGACCUGAGAGGGUGAUCGGCCACACUGGGACUGAGACACGGCCCAGACUCCUACGG
rnacentral:rRNA from 1 species